GGAUAUGUUAAUAGCAUAUUCAUUUGACGUUAGCUGCACGAAGAAGCACCGGCUAACUCCGUGCCAGCAGCCGCGGUAAUACGGAGGGUGCGAGCGUUAAUCGGAAUUACUGGGCGUAAAGCGCAUGCAGGUGGUUGUUAAGUCAGAUGUGAAAGCCCGGGGCUCAACCUCGGAAUUGCAUUUGAAACUGGCAAACUAGAGUACUGUAGAGGGGGUAGAAUUUCAGGUGUAGCGGUGAAAUGCGUAGAGAUCUGAAGGAAUACCGGUGGCGAAGGCGGCCCCCUGGACAGAUACUGACACUCAGAUGCGAAAGCGUGGGGAGCAAACAGGAUUAGAUACCCUGGUAG
rnacentral:rRNA from 1 species